AUAUUGGCCUCAACAAAGAAUUCAUCUCCGCCUGACCACGGAUGUACUGGCAGUCGUCGAGAUGGAGUGAGGAAGGUCGGUGCGAAUUUCGCCCGGCCUUUUUUGUU
rnacentral:ncRNA from 1 species